UGGUGGGUAGUUUGACUGGGGCGGUCUCCUCCUAAAGAGUAACGGAGGAGCACGAAGGUUGGCUAAUCCUGGUCGGACAUCAGGAGGUUAGUGCAAUGGCAUAAGCCAGCUUGACUGCGAGCGUGACGGCGCGAGCAGGUGCGAAAGCAGGUCAUAGUGAUCCGGUGGUUCUGAAUGGAAGGGCCAUCGCUCAACGGAUAAAAGGUACUCCGGGGAUAACAGGCUGAUACCGCCCAAGAGUUCAUAUCGACGGCGGUGUUUGGCACCUCGAUGUCGGCUCAUCACAUCCUGGGGCUGAAGUAGGUCCCAAGGGUAUGGCUGUUCGCCAUUUAAAGUGGUACGCGAGCUGGGUUUAGAACGUCGUGAGACAGUUCGGUCCCUAUCUGCCGUGGGCGCUGGAGAACUGAGGGGGGCUGCUCCUAGUACGAGAGGACCGGAGUGGACGCAUCACUGGUGUUCGGGUUGUCAUGCCAAUGGCACUGCCCGGUAGCUAAAUGCGGAAGAGAUAAGUGCUGAAAGCAUCUAAGCACGAAACUUGCCCCGAGAUGAGUUCUCCCUGAGACUUAAAGUCUCCUGAAGGAACGUUGAAGACGACGACGUUGAUAGGCCGGGUGUGUAAGCGCAGCGAUGCGUUGAGCUAACCGGUAC
rnacentral:rRNA from 1 species